AGAGUUUGAUCCUGGCUCAGGACGAACGCUGGCGGCGUGCUUAACACAUGCAAGUCGAGCGAUGAAGCUUCCUUCGGGAAGUGGAUUAGCGGCGGACGGGUGAGUAACACGUGGGUAACCUGCCUCAAAGUGGGGGAUAGCCUUCCGAAAGGAAGAUUAAUACCGCAUAAUAUAAGAGAAUCGCAUGAUUUUUUUAUCAAAGAUUUAUUGCUUUGAGAUGGACCCGCGGCGCAUUAGCUAGUUGGUAAGGUAACGGCUUACCAAGGCAACGAUGCGUAGCCGACCUGAGAGGGUGAUCGGCCACAUUGGAACUGAGACACGGUCCAGACUCCUACGGGAGGCAGCAGUGGGGAAUAUUGCGCAAUGGGGGAAACCCUGACGCAGCAACGCCGCGUGGGUGAUGAAGGUCUUCGGAUUGUAAAGCUCUGUUUUCUAGGACGAUAAUGACGGUACUAGAGGAGGAAGCCACGGCUAACUACGUGCCAGCAGCCGCGGUAAUACGUAGGUGGCGAGCGUUGUCCGGAUUUACUGGGCGUAAAGGGUGCGUAGGCGGAUGUUUAAGUGGGAUGUGAAAUCCCCGGGCUUAACCUGGGGGCUGCAUUCCAAACUGGAUAUCUAGAGUGCAGGAGAGGAAAGCGGAAUUCCUAGUGUAGCGGUGAAAUGCGUAGAGAUUAGGAAGAACACCAGUGGCGAAGGCGGCUUUCUGGACUGUAACUGACGCUGAGGCACGAAAGCGUGGGUAGCAAACAGGAUUAGAUACCCUGGUAGUCCACGCCGUAAACGAUGGAUACUAGGUGUAGGGGGUAUCAACUCCCCCUGUGCCGCAGUUAACACAAUAAGUAUCCCGCCUGGGGAGUACGGUCGCAAGAUUAAAACUCAAAGGAAUUGACGGGGGCCCGCACAAGCAGCGGAGCAUGUGGUUUAAUUCGAAGCAACGCGAAGAACCUUACCUGGACUUGACAUCCCUUGCAUAGCCUAGAGAUAGGUGAAGCCCUUCGGGGCAAGGAGACAGGUGGUGCAUGGUUGUCGUCAGCUCGUGUCGUGAGAUGUUAGGUUAAGUCCUGCAACGAGCGCAACCCUUGUUAUUAGUUGCUACCAUUAAGUUGAGCACUCUAAUGAGACUGCCUGGGUAACCAGGAGGAAGGUGGGGAUGACGUCAAAUCAUCAUGCCCCUUAUGUCCAGGGCUACACACGUGCUACAAUGGUAGGUACAAUAAGACGCAAGACCGUGAGGUGGAGCAAAACUUAUAAAACCUAUCUCAGUUCGGAUUGUAGGCUGCAACUCGCCUACAUGAAGCUGGAGUUGCUAGUAAUCGCGAAUCAGAAUGUCGCGGUGAAUACGUUCCCGGGCCUUGUACACACCGCCCGUCACACCAUGAGAGCUGGUAACACCCGAAGUCCGUGAGGUAACCGUAAGGAACCAGCGGCCGAAGGUGGGAUUAGUGAUUGGGGUGAAGUCGUAACAAGGUAGCCGUAGGAGAACCUGCGGCUG
rnacentral:rRNA from 1 species